UGGAAGUGAGUUGACCAGUGCUGCUAGUACCGUGAUACCAUGCCGAUCAACGCCGAGACGGUGAACCUGGCCGCCACGUACAUGAUUCUUGUGAUCCUGUUGUUCUUCCUCUGGCUGUUCUACUCGGCCAUCUUUUAGCAAUUGCGUGGACGCGUAGGCGCGGCGACAAACCAGCGUCCCCAGUUCCCUGGAGUCGUUUGUCCAGUGAAGUCCUCGAAGCAGUCAGGUGCCAAAGUCGCCAUGCCCAACCACGAGACCACCAACCUGAUAGCCACCUACCUGAUCCUGCUGCUACUGCUGGGGUCUCUGUGGCUGCUGUACUCCGGGCUGUACUGAGACGAGAGCAAGUAAACGUCACCAUGUGAGACCAAAGUGCGAAGCAGAGCUGAAAUGCAACUUAAAUUAAGAAACCGUAAUUUUAGUAUUAAGUUAAUAAGUUAAGCCAUUUUAUACCCGAGCAUUUAAGUUAUCGUAAUGGAGGUCCCUGGUCUGAGACAGGAGCUAUGGUGCUGGGCAUUCCAAUUUAAACUCUAAAAUUUAGAGGAAAGACAGAUAAAACACCGAUUAUGUGAAUAGAGCCUAGCAAUUAAUAUUUGCUGAAAGGCGUAACACCAGAACUAAAGAUUUUAUCAUUGUUAAGAAUAAUUUAAGUGUUUUAAUAAAGAUUUUUCUAUUAA